rnacentral:rRNA from 1 species
CUGGCGGCGUGCUUAACACAUGCAAGUCGAACGAGAAUCUACUGAAAGAGUUUUCGGACAAUGGAUGUAGAGGAAAGUGGCGGACGGGUGAGUAACGCGUGGGUAACCUGCCUUGUACUGGGGGACAACAGUUGGAAACGACUGCUAAUACCGCAUAAGCGCACAGCUUCGCAUGAAGCAGUGUGAAAAAACUCCGGUGGUAUAAGAUGGACCCGCGUCUGAUUAGCUUGUUGGUGAGGUAACGGCCCACCAAGGCGACGAUCAGUAGCCGGCCUGAGAGGGUGAACGGCCACAUUGGGACUGAGACACGGCCCAAACUCCUACGGGAGGCAGCAGUGAGGAAUAUUGGUCAAUGGACGAGAGUCUGAACCAGCCAAGUAGCGUGAAGGAUGAAGGUCCUGCGGAUUGUAAACUUCUUUUAUAAGGGAAUAAAACCUCCCACGUGUGGGAGCUUGUAUGUACCUUAUGAAUAAGCAUCGGCUAACUCCGUG